rnacentral:rRNA from 1 species
CCUGAGAAAUCCAAAAGUUCGAAUGGAGAGAUUCAGCGUCAGUGGCUGUUGGCUUGCGUGUGGUCGCGAUGCUCGUGCUGGCUGCGGCGCUCUCGGGCGCUCAGUGGGCGCGCGGCACGCGGUUGCUGCGUCAUGUCCGGCGUCGCCGGCGUGCACUUCUCUCCUAGUAGGACGUCGCGACCCGUCGGGUGCGCACAGCUCGGUCGACGGCCCGUACGGUAGACUGUCGAGCAUCACGCUCGACAGACCAUCGGUGUUCCGCAUCCCCGACCGACUGCCCGGCGGUAUUGAAAGCUUUUUUUAUCAAGAAUGGUAUCGGGCCGCACAUUUUUUUGAACGCGUUCGGCCUGACGGUCGUCAAGGUCUCGCACGGCGUUUUACGGACCUGGUGCCGUUGCCGUGUGCUUGAUUCUUUUUCGAUCGUCAGUGUCCUCGAACCGGCUCGCGGGGCCCGCUCCCUCGGGGGUGGGCUCCGGCUCACGCAUACCGGUCAGCGACGCUUUUGCUUUGGAUACUUUCAGG